GAUGAAGAACGUAGCGAAAUGCGAUAAGUAGUGUGAAUUGCAGAAUUCAGUGAAUCAUCGAAUCUUUGAACGCACAUUGCGCCCCUUGGUAUUCCAUGGGGCAUGCCUGUUCGAGCGUCAUUUGUACCUUCAAGCUUUGCUUGGUGUUGGGUUUUUGUCCCUCGGGACUCGCCUUAAAGUCAUUGGCAGCCAGUGUUUUGGUUUUGAAGCGCAGCACAAGUCGCGAUUCAAGGCUAUCCGCCCGCUUCCACAAGCCUUUUUCACUUUUGACCUCGGAUCAGGUAGGGAUACCCGCUGAACUUAAGCAUAUCAAUAAGCGGAGGA
rnacentral:misc_RNA from 1 species